UACGGGGGGGGCAAGCGUUGUUCGGAAUUACUGGGCGUAAAGGGCUUGUAGGCGGCCAACUAAGUCCGACGUGAAAUCCCCAGGCUUAACCUGGGAACUGCGUCGGAUACUGGAUGGCUUGAAUUCGGGAGAGGGAUGCAGAAUUCCAGGUGUAGCGGUGAAAUGCGUAGAUAUCUGGAGGAACACCGGUGGCGAAGGCGGCAUUCUGGACCGGCAUUGACGCUGAGGCGCGAAAGCCAGGGGAGCAAACGGG
rnacentral:rRNA from 1 species